rnacentral:rRNA from 1 species
UACGGAAGGCGCAGUGGGGAAUAUUGCACAAUGGGCGAAAGCCUGAUGCAGCUAUGCCGCGUGUAUGAAGAAGGCCUUAGGGUUGUAAAGUACUUUCAUCGGGGAGGAAAAAACAAAACUAAUAAUUUUAUUUCUUGACGUUACCCGAAAAAGAAGCACCGGCUAACUCCGUGCCAGCAGCCGCGGUAAUACGGAGGGUGCUAGCGUUAAUCAGAAUUACUGGGCGUAAAGAGCACGUAGGUGGUUUUUUUAAAGUCAGAUGUGAAAUCCCUGGGCUUAACCUAGGAACUGCAUUUUGAAACUGAAAUACUAGAGUAUCGUAGAGGGAGGUAGAAUUCUAGGUGUAGCGGUGAAAUGCGUAGAUAUCUGGAGGAAUACCUGUGGCGAAAGCGGCCUCCUAAACGAAUACUGACACUGAGGGUGCGAAAGCGUGGGGAGCAAACAGGGAUUAGAUACC